rnacentral:rRNA from 1 species
AACGGGUGGUAAUGCCGGAUGCUCCGGUUGGAUGCAUGUCCUUCCGGGAAAGAUUUCAUCGGUAUGGGAUGGGGUCGCGUCCUAUCAGGUAGUCGGCGGGGUAACGGCCCACCGAGCCUACGACGGGUAGCCGGCCUGAGAGGGCGACCGGCCACAUUGGGACUGAGAUACGGCCCAGACUCCUACGGGAGGCAGCAGUGGGGAAUAUUGCACAAUGGGCGCAAGCCUGAUGCAGCGACGCCGCGUGCGGGAUGACGGCCUUCGGGUUGUAAACCGCUUUUGAUCGGGAGCAAGCCUUCGGGUGAGUGUACCUUUCGAAUAAGCACCGGCUAACUACGUGCCAGCAGCCGCGGUAAUACGUAGGGUGCAAGCGUUAUCCGGAAUUAUUGGGCGUAAAGGGCUCGUAGGCGGUUCGUCGCGUCCGGUGUGAAAGUCCCAUCGCUUAACGGUGGAUCCGCGCCGGGUACGGGCGGGCUUGAGUGCGGUAGGGGAGACUGGAAUUCCCGGUGUAACGGUGGAAUGUGUAGAUAUCGGGAAGAACACC